GGGAAACUGGGGGUAAUUCCAGAUAUGUCAGAACUCCUGGAAUGGGUUCUGGCAGAAAGGCUCCGGCGCCUCAGGAUGGGUCUGCGGCCUAUCAGGGUAGUAGUGGGUGUAACGUACCUACUAGCCUACGACGGGUACGGGUUGUGAGAGCAAGAGCCCGGAGAUGGAUUCUGAGACAUGAAUCCAGGCCCUACGGGGUGCAGCAGGCGCGAAAACUUUACAAUGCGGGCAACCGCGAUAAGGGGACCUCGAGUGCUGGGUUACAAACCUGGCUGUUGGGCUGCCUAAAAAGCAGUCUAUAGCAAGGGCCGGGCAAGACCGGUGCCAGCCGCCGCGGUAACACCGGCGGCUCGAGUGGUAACCGCUAUUAUUGGGUCUAAAGGGUCUGUAGCCGGCCGACUAAGUCUCUUGGGAAAUCUGGCAUCUCAAGUGUCAGGCUGCCAGGGGAUACUGGUCGGCUUGGGACCGGGAGAGGUGAAU
rnacentral:rRNA from 1 species